GUGCCAGCAGCCGCGGUAAUACGAGAGGCCCAAACGUUAUUCGGAAUUACUGGGCUUAAAGAGUUCGUAGGCGGCAUUGCAAGUAGGGUGUGAAAGCCCUCGGCUCAACCGAGGAAUUGCGCUCUAAACUGCAGUGCUUGAGGAACCUAGAGGUGAGCAGAACAGAUGGUGGAGCGGUGAAAUGCGUUGAUAUCAUCUGGAAUACCGGAGGCGAAGGCGGCUCACUGGGAGUUUUCUGACGCUGAGGAACGAAAGCCAGGGUAGCGAACGGGAUUAGAUACCCCAGUAGUCC
rnacentral:rRNA from 1 species